rnacentral:rRNA from 1 species
AUUGAACGCUGGCGGCAGGCCUAACACAUGCAAGUCGAACGAGUGGCGGACGGGUGAGUAAUGUCUGGGAAACUGCCUGAUGGAGGGGGCUAACUACUGGAAACGGUAGAUAAUACCGCAUACCAUCAGAUGUGCCCAGGUGGGAUUAGCUCUGUGGGCGGGUAACGGCUCACCAAGGCGACGAUCCCUAGCUGUGCUGAGAGGAUGACCAGCCACACUGGAACUAGGACACGGUCCAGACUCCUACGGGAGGCAGCAGUGGGGAAUAUUGCACAAGGGGCGCAAGGCUGAUGCAGCCAUGCCGCGUGUAUGAAGAAGGCCUUCGGUUUGUAAAGUACUUUCAGCGGGGAGGCGUUACCCGCAGAAGAAGCACCGGCUAACUCCGUGCCAGCAGCCGCGGUAAUUC